ensembl:lncRNA
GACCUAGAAAUAACCCACCACCACACAUCUCUGUUUACAAAUGACCUGUUCACCUUCUUUGGAUGAACCACUUAAAAGGUUUGUCUGAAAUGUUUGCUUACUGUUUGGUGGAAGAACACCAAAGCUGCUUGCUUUCUUUAAAUGAGGUGUCAGUCGUUCCUCUGGUCCUGUCUGUGAUCUGAAGGAGCUGUAUGCAGAGCUGGUGGAAGACCAGGAGUCAGAGAGGGAGUCUGCAGUCACUGACAGGAAGAAGAAAUAAUCAGAAGUUAGAAAUUAAUAAACAUGAAUUAUUCAUUUUCAGAAGGUUGCCA